rnacentral:rRNA from 1 species
GCCAGAGACCGAUAGCGCACAAGUAGAGUGAUCGAAAGAUGAAAAGCACUUUGGAAAGAGAGUUAAACAGUACGUGAAAUUGUUGAAAGGGAAGCGCUUGCCGCCAGACUUGCCCGCGGGUGAUCAGCCACCCUUCGGGGCGGUGCACUUCACCCGCGGUCAGGCCAGCAUCGGUUUUGGCGGGCGGAUAAAGUCCCCAGGAAUGUGGCUCCCCCCGGGGAGUGUUAUAGCCUGGGGUGCAAUGCGCCCAGCCGGGAUCGAGGACCGCGCUCCGGCUAGGAUGCUGGCGUAAUGGCGGCAAGCGACCCGUCUUGAAACACGGACCAAGGAGUCUAACAUCUGUGCGAGUGUUUGGGUGUCAACCCCAUGCGCGGAAUGAAAGUGAACGGAGGUGGGAGCCCCCUUCGCGGGGGCGCACCAUCGACCGAUCCUGAUGUCUUCGGAUGGAUUUGAGUAGGAGCACAGCUGUUGGGACCCGAAAGAUGGUGAACUAUGCGUGAAUAGGGUGAAGCCAGAGGAAACUCUGGUGGAGGCUCGCAGCGGUUCUGACGUGCAAAUCGAUCGUCAAAUUUGCGUAUAGGGGCGAAAGGUACGUCGUUA